CCCUCCGAAAGGGUGUGUGUUGGCGCCAGCGAGAGUGUGCCAGAGUGUUUUUUUUGUAGGUCGUGGCGUAGAUUUUGGCUGAAUUUUGAACAAUGGAAGGGACUUGGAGAAGCGGGGAAGAGAGUUUCGACGAAUAAUGCACCUUUACGAUCUUGAAGCCAACUAUCCAACGGCCUCCCCUUGGGGGGGAUUUUGUUGACGUGGUUUACUACGGGUGGAUUGUCCACCAAUUUAAAUACUCAACCCUUCCAACACCCAUUACACACCCUUGCCAACCACCCGCGCUCCGUUCCAUCCGGCCACCCGGGCUCAGAGUAGAGAUAAUCGUUUUGUUUUGAUACUCGACCAUGGGGGCCCGCUCUAACCCGCCCGCUCGGUGUCGUUGGCGGUCGAUGGUCAGUUUGUAUUUGCAUGGUUUUGCAUCGCUUUUUUUGCUUGAGUACGUGUGUACUGAUCGGACGAAGAAACCCUUAACAGAGGAUGAGCAGUGUGAGCCGCGCCCUCUACAUGCGUUGCUGCCUGAUGGCCCCUUGUCACCCAACAAAGAACGGGUACUCCCCAGGGUUGCAUAAUGGCGCGUGGGGAGUACUUUUUGAUAGCAAACCAAACUAGAGUCACGGGGUUUCCCCCCGUCGAUAGGGGGCUUUUUCGUCGCGCCAGAAGGCGUCUGUCAUCUGCCACCGAUGGGCGUCGAUUAUCCAAUUUGGCUCAACCCCAGGUCUGCUAUCGUAAAUAAACCACAAACCACGUUACUACUACUUCGCGACGAGCCACGAUUCGCCAUUCACUUGUGAUCGCAGGCCCGAGAACUUUGUUUACUAUACUACUUCUUGAGCAAAGAAAAAAGAGUGAGUGAGAGAGAGAGAGAACCUUCCUGAUCUCUGGGGUGGUUAAGUGAAUGCAACCCAACCGGCACGCCGCUGUUGCUAUGCAAAAGCAACGCAAAACUGCAGCACAAACCGGUGCUCGAUUGCAAACCCGAUAGCUUUCCAAUGUGUGUCGAAACGAUCGUCCGCCGCCCGGUACCAACACAAAGAGAUCUGCGAUCUUGAGCGAUCGCUUGUAGACGCGACCCAGGCGAUCGUACAUUUUCUUACCCCAUUCUCUUUUUCUCUAACAGCACACACAUACACGGUCAGAUGCGAUGGUUAAAAAUAGCACAGGAAAAAAACAUACACGCCGGACGUGAGCAGCCGGCACAGAGGGUUUAUUUUUGGCACAAUCGCGUUAAUACCGAGAGAGAUUGCUAAAGCCAGGAGGAUCCGAGCAUGUUUGCCCGCCAAAACAAUAUCCACCUACUCUGAGAAAUUCCGGAGGUCUCCCGUCUCCUCAGCAUGUCUAUUUUUCGUGUUUUGUAAUCGGUGACCAGUGGUUCGUUGUCGUUUCGUGAGAUAGAAUACAAGAUAUUCACUGUAAUGAGUUGGCCCCGGGGAAAGACCUUCCACACGUACAGCACACACCUUUUUCAAGAUUGGUGACUAGAGAACCUCUCUAUGUGUGGAUGCCGUCGGAUGCAGUCAGAUGAAACGAAGAUGUUAGACGAGGUCGUUUCGCUAUGACUGACUGCAUCGUUCGACCUCAAUCGCCCACCGGACAAAGUCCAACGCUUCACACAUACGUCUCUGGACCCUUGCGAUAUAUCUUGGUGAGGACGGACGAUUGACAGGUUGUCGCUGUGUCAAACAAAAACGGAAUUCACGAACUCAAUUAAAAAAAAAUUAUCAAAAA